rnacentral:rRNA from 1 species
GAUGAACGCUAGCGGCAGGCCUAAUACAUGCAAGUCGAACGGUAAAUAUUUUAGCAAUAGAAUAUGAGAGUGACGUACGGGUGCGUAACACGUAUGCAACCUACCCUUUACAGGAGUAUAGCUCGGGGAAACUCGGAUUAAAGCUUCAUAAUAUGAUUGAAUGGCAUCAUUUGAUUAUUAAAUCUACGGAGGUAAAGGAUGGGCAUGCGUCUGAUUAGUUAGUUGGCGGUGUAACGGACCACCAAGACGAUGAUCAGUAGGGGAACUGAGAGGUUGAUCCCCCACACUGGCACUGAGAUACGGGCCAGACUCCUACGGGAGGCAGCAGUAGGGAAUAUUGGUCAAUGGAUGGAAGUCUGAACCAGCCAUGCCGCGUGCAGGAAGAAGGCCUUCUGGGUUGUAAACUGCUUUUGCCAGGGGCUAAAAAGCUCAUGCGUGAGAAAUUGAAAGUACCUGGUGAAUAAGCCACGGCUAACUACGUGC